UGGAUUAGUGGAACAAAAACAGUGUCCCAUUUUUAUAUUUGCCAACCGAUUGACUUUGCUUUCAAGGUUUUUUUCUAUCCCGUGAAUAAAGCACCAAAAUCACAGAAUUCUUGCGCUUUGUGUUUUGCACGUAUAUCUGAUAUCUCUGUCAUGUUUCUAUUUUUUUUCCCGUCAUUGGUGUGUUUUGCACAGUGCUGUUUUACCCGGCUUGGUUCCUGCUCCCGUGCUCUCUGCUCUGGCUUUUGUUCCCUGCGUUUGUCAGUAUUGUCACUGAGCUCUGAGACUGCUGUGGCCGCGAGUAAAUUCACAAGGAUAUUACCGGUGGCCAGCUAAGCUUCAUGGGGGGUAGUAAUAAAGGGAAAGCUCUCGUGCUCGGAGUUACUCGAGCCGUCCGCUGCGUAGGGUCGUUCUCAAAUCUCAAUAAAUGCACGCAGAGGAAGUGGUACACUGGUACAGUCCUUGCUCCCUGUCCUGAAUAGUAUUGUACAGUCAGUUAUCCAUAAGUUCAAGUUCAAAAUUUGAUUAAAAAAAGAGAGUGGGCAACAAGAUUGUUAUUGUACCUCAUCCGCCGCCUAAUACAUCGAACCCAUUUCUGGCCCAAUAAUUCUCGGGCUGGGCUUGCAGAUUCGCCCAGGCCAUGUGUCUUUAGCGACAGGCUUAAUUAGCGACAGGCUUAAUUCUCAACAAAAAAAAAAAAGCUGCAGUUCUCGGGGCAUCUAACAGUACAGUAGCUUUCUCUCUUAAAAAAACAGUACAGUACCUUGGUAAGUGGUGACCCCCUCCUCCUCUAGUCUGGCGACCUGCUGGUGGUCCAAUCCGUCUCUGCUUUUUUUUAGACGAAAGGCAUCCGGUGACUGGCUUUAUAUAUAAAGUCACAAUGACCGACAAAGUCUGAAAGUUAUGGUAGGGUUACCAGCUUACAAGGCGAGUACAAAAAAGACACAGCAAAAUGGUCACAACCAAAAACAAAUAGUCAUUAAGUGACGUUGGAGGGCUUCAGGAUAGCGAAGAUGCGUCUAAACUCCGCCGCCGCCGCCGAG
rnacentral:lncRNA from 1 species